CCUACGGGUGACUGCAGUGGGGAUAUUGCACAAUGGGGGGAACCCUGAUGCAGCGACGCCGCGUGGGUGAAGGAGUGCUUCGGCAUGUAAAGCCCUAUCGGCAGGGAAGAAGCAAGACGGUACCUGACUAAGAAGCCCCGGCUAACUACGUGCCAGCAGACGCGGUAAUACGUAGGGGGCGAGCGUUAUCCGGAUGCACUGGGUGGAAAGGGAGCGUAGACGGCCAUGCAAGCCAGGGGUGAAAGCCCGGGGCCCAACCCCGGGACUGCCCGUGGAACUGCAUGGCUGGAUUGCGGGAGGGGCAGGCGGAAUUCCUGGUGUAGCGGUGAAAUGCGUAGAUAUCAGGAGGAACACCGGCGGCGAAGGCGGCCUGCUGGACCGCGACUGACGUUGAGGCUCGAAAGCGUGGGGAGCGAACAGGAUUAGAUACCCUGGUAGUC
rnacentral:rRNA from 1 species